rnacentral:rRNA from 1 species
CCUACGGGAGGCAGCAGUGAGGAAUAUUGGUCAAUGGACGAGAGUCUGAACCAGCCAAGUAGCGUGAAGGAUGACUGCCCUAUGGGUUGUAAACUUCUUUUAUAAAGGAAUAAAACGAGGCACGUGUGCCUUUUUGCAUGUACUUUAUGAAUAAGGAUCGGCUAACUCCGUGCCAGCAGCCGCGGUAAUACGGAGGAUCCGAGCGUUAUCCGGAUUUAUUGGGUUUAAAGGGAGCGUAGAUGGGUUGUUAAGUCAGUUGUGAAAGUUUGCGGCUCAACCGUAAAAUUGCAAUUGAUACUGGCAGUCGUGAGUACAGUUGAGAUAAGCGGAAUUCGUGGUGUAGCGGUGAAAUGCUUAGAGAUCACGAAGAACCCCGAUUGCGAAGGCAGCUUACUAAACUGUGACUGACAUUGAUGCUCGAAAGUGUGGGUAUCAAACAGGAUUAGAUACCCGUGUAGUC